UACGGGGGGGGCAAGCGUUGUUCGGAAUUACUGGGCGUAAAGGGCUCGUAGGCGGCCAACUAAGUCAGACGUGAAAUCCCUCGGCUUAACCGGGGAACUGCGUCUGAUACUGGAUGGCUUGAGUUUGGGAGAGGGAGCGGAAUUCCAGGUGUAGCGGUGAAAUGCGUAGAUAUCUGGAGGAACACCGGUGGCGAAGGCGGCAUCCUGGACCAACACUGACGCUGAGUGAGCGAAAGCCAGGGGAGCAAACAGGG
rnacentral:rRNA from 1 species